UGGUGGGUAGUUUGACUGGGGCGGUCUCCUCCUAAAGAGUAACGGAGGAGCACGAAGGUUAGCUAAUCCUGGUCGGACAUCAGGAGGUUAGUGCAAAGGCAUAAGCUAGCUUGACUGCGAGAGUGACGGCUCGAGCAGGUGCGAAAGCAGGUCUUAGUGAUCCGGUGGUUCUGAAUGGAAGGGCCAUCGCUCAACGGAUAAAAGGUACUCCGGGGAUAACAGGCUGAUACCGCCCAAGAGUUCAUAUCGACGGCGGUGUUUGGCACCUCGAUGUCGGCUCAUCACAUCCUGGGGCUGAAGUAGGUCCCAAGGGUAUGGCUGUUCGCCAUUUAAAGUGGUACGCGAGCUGGGUUUAGAACGUCGUGAGACAGUUCGGUCCCUAUCUGCCGUGGGCGCUGGAGAAUUGAGGGGGGCUGCUCCUAGUACGAGAGGACCGGAGUGGACGCAUCACUGGUGUUCGGGUUGUCAUGCCAAUGGCAUU
rnacentral:rRNA from 1 species